AUAAGUUACAGCUUUAAAACUGAAGCAAUCGGUGCAAAAUGGAUGCUAGUGUUUACUUUAUCUUAUGUUUCCUUGUUCUUGCAGGAGACGGUCGUGUGCUAGCCAAUUCAUGUGGAACACUUUCCGUUGUGAAGCCAACGUUUGUGAGCAGAAACGUCACCUUGAAAUUCAUCCCUCGUCAUUCGUGGAUCACACAGUUUGCUCUGAGGUGAAACACACGGGUUCAACCCUUAGAUGGCCUUCAGGCACAUGUUCAACAAACUGUUCAGGAUGGAAAUCAGGCCAGAGUGUGGCAAUCUGCUGCUCCUAUCCUCGGAAAUAAAAUAUGGAACAACGGUUGAAGUAGCGUAUUACCCUUCAGACCAAAGGACAUUCGGGAACCAUCCGUAUAAUAAACGUACAUGGUUGAAAGGUGUUCUUCAAGAGCCUUUGCAUCUCCGAGAUAACAUUUAUGAAGAGUGGAAAAUGUCGGAUUAUUUGUACACUCUAAAAAUAUACAAUUUGAAUGAGAGAAAAGCUGGACGUUACGCUUUGAAAUGUGAAAGGUCAAUGGCAUCUGCCACAAACUGGUUAAGCAUACAUGUAACAAUAAGCAGCUAAUUGGGCCAAUUUGGGAUGAUUGUGUUUACGGCAAUGCAGACACUACCAUUUAUUGCAACACAAGUCGUACUUCAGGGAGUACGCACGUGACAUUUUCCAAGAGUCAAGAAUUUACAAUGACACAGCACGGACGGCAGACUGGGGUAUAUGCCAUUGAACUUGACGUAAACACUUGGAGGGACCAUGACGGCGGUUUUGUAAUUUGCAUGGUCUCUAACGAUGCUUAUGUACACGAUCUGAAGAGCACGACAAAAUUGUGUUAUAUGGAGAAAGGUUCGGACCCUAUUUUGAAUAUACCAGAAUACAUCCACAAUGAAAAUACAACAAUCAGCGGCGAGGUUUUGAAUACACGCCCUCCAGCGUGUAUUGAAAUAAUGGUUAACAACGAAGACAUUAUUGAUGCUGUUCAAGAGAAUUUGUUGAACGAAUCGUCAAAAACAUUCGCCAGUAAAGCUUUCAUAUUAAAGAUAGACAAGAAGUAGGAAUGGAAAGGAAAUAUGUUGUCGUCGAAAUUCUACAAUUUACGGAAAUACGGAAGCUACCUGUAAAAUAUUAGACAUACAAUAUGGCCCUGUUGUCGACAUUAUGGAGGAACUGAAUAUUGAGGAAGGAAGUAGCGUGUCGUUCAAAUGCAAAUUUAGCCGGGGCAACCCUCCGCAGGAAUCAUCGGUUGUAUGGACGAGAACAUUAAACAAUCAACGUUGGGAGGACGGUUCUCUUGAAAUCACGUCUAUUCAGAGGUCUGAUGAUGACAUUUAUACAUGCACAGUCACAAAUGAAAUGGUACUAUCUGAAGGGAAAAUUGUGAAUGGAAUCAGUAACGGAACAAUGCAUUUAAAUGUACAUUACAAAUCAAUGGUUAGAAAAUUUGCUGUUAUAGGCUCGGAAUACACAGAUAGUGUUACCAAAGCAGAAAACGACAUAGCAGUAUUAGUGUGUGUGGUUGAUAGUAACCCUAAAGCUGAAAUUAGCAUCGCUAAAGGCGACGAAAUACUGGAAGUUGAACAGUAUGGAAACAAUCUAACACACACUAUAGCUAGUUUGUCAUGCUUAAAUGCAGGUCUCUACUCGUGUACAGGUGCAAAUAGAUACAACCGCGAUAAGCCGUCCAAAGGCAUACUAGAAAUGUUUGUUACCUGUUCGGUCAGUCGUCCGUUCAAUGGAAAUGUGACGCUUAUAUUUUACAGUCCUUUAAAUGAAAAUGUGACGUUAUCAUACAUUGCAUUUGCAUAUCCAAUACCCAAAGCUGGGCAAUUCACUUGGAAAAAGUGCAUUGGAAACGAGACUUGCAUAGUAAUAACUGCAAAUUCGUCCAAGUAUGACAUAUCGACAAUCGGACUGUCGAGUUAUCUAAUAAUUACCCAUGUAAAUGAAAACGACUAUGGAAAGUACCAGUUAACAAUUACGAAUGGUGUUGGUGAGGAAUUAACGGAAGUAUUUCAAUUAAAGAAAGGUGGUAAUAAUGAAAUUUCAGAAAAAAACCUUCCACUUAUACUGUUUGUGCUUCUGUCGGAGGAAGUAUCGUUGCUAUGGUUAUUGGAUCUGUUAUUAUUGUAUAUUGCACUCGACGAAAGGUUUCUCUAAGCAACGUGUGUUGCUCAUGUGGUUCACGUAAUAAAAAUUCCAAUUUGAGAGCAAAAGAAGUAGACAUGUACUUGACCUGCGUGCAUCAUUCAAGGCCAGCUACAGACGGAAGCCACUAUCAGAGCGUUACGGAUAUAUUGGAAGCGGAAACUCAAACGAAUGAAGGAAAUACUGGCGAACCGCUCACAGUGCCCUACGAAUCGCCCAAUACGGCAACAAUUGAAUAAGAUGCCUUAGGCAAGAGAGUCGACUUUAAUAGAACAAACAUGUGGACUGAUGCAUUUCAAAGAAGAGAAAAUCAUCAAUUGAAAAAGUGAAAUACCACUUCUAUUUUACUGACAAAUCUUAACCAACCACCAGAAAGAUAUGGAUAUGGACAUCCAAGAAUGAAACACAUGUUUUAGAGACAUUAUUUGUAAAUUAAAUAUUUUGGUGGACUUUGUUGAUAUCGUGAAGAAAAGCCGUUAAUUCAUCUUCAUAAUGUUACCAUAUGAAGAAAAUGUCAUCAAGGAAACGCAACCGUAGUAACGUUUUUUUGGAACAGGUUUUAAGAAAAUCUUGUUCAAACUUUCCCAUAAACAAAGAUGCAAAGCACGGCGCCAUUUUCGUGCCCAUAGCUGUUCCUAAAAUCUGAAAAUUGUUCUUUGUUUAUACAAGUUUGAUUAAGUUUGAAAUGUCCUCAAUGUAUCCAAGAGAGUUAGAGUUGUCUUGUUCAAGGAAGGAUCUGCAUGCUGCUAUACCGAAACGUUGUUUCAUAAAUAAAUAGUUUGUGUUGAAGUUGGACUUCUUUAAUUAUCACUAUAUACAUGUUUG